AGCCUUCUGUAUCCGUGCUGAGAUUUCGUCACACCAGACCACAAGGGCUGAUGAGACUUACGUUCAGUUUAUCAUCGCU
rnacentral:pre_miRNA from 1 species